GUCCGGUUCGGCCCGGUGGAAGUACUUGCGGAAGGCGGCCUCGAUGCGGGCGCCGUCUUCGAAGAACUGCUGCAAAAGGAGGGAAGACCGGAGCGGGGAGAGAGAUAUUGUGUUUAGCAUUAGGGCCUUCAACAAAAACAUUGAAUUACGGCAUAUCGAAAUAGUCCAAAUCGGUGUUGAAAGUGAUAGAAAAAACUAUCAUUUGAUGAUUCCACCAAAACAUUAGAAGCAUGAGCAUUCUCUUUCUAUCACUGCUUCCCGUUUCCUCGUUCACGAACACUCGCCGAAGAUUUUUUUUGUUUUCUCAGGAAACCGCAAAGAAAGAACACGAGAGGAGGAUUGGGAACCGACCACGCGUAACGUCCCGUUGAGACCAAAUUUAUUUGGAACCCCGGUCGUACAGGACUUCAAGUUAAACACGGGGUUCCAAAUUACUGUGGGCUUAAACUGCGUUGGCAAAUUUUGUUUCGAGGGAGAAUGGUUGUGAAUCCGGGAAUGAAAGAGUAAACGGAAUGUCACACAUGAUUGUGAAAACACGAGGUAGAGAUCGU